GUGCAAACGUGAUUACUAGCUCUGCGUGAUGUGGCAGAAGCAAAGGGAACCAGGUUUGCGAAAGUAACUAUGGUGAUAGAAAUGUGUAAGCUUCAGACACUACUGAGAUGGCCCUUUCUAUCUUAGUACAUUC
ensembl:snoRNA SNORA66 Small nucleolar RNA SNORA66